CGGGGGGAGCAAGCGUUGUUCGGAUUUACUGGGCGUAAAGGGCGCGUAGGCGGCCACCGCAAGUCGACUGUGAAAUCUCCGGGCUUAACCCGGAAAGGUCAGCCGAUACUGCGGGGCUAGAGUGCAGAAGGGGCAACUGGAAUUCUCGGUGUAGCGGUGAAAUGCGUAGAUAUCGAGAGGAACACCUGCGGCGAAGGCGGGUUGCUGGGCUGACACUGACGCUGAAGUGCGAAAGCUUGGGGAGCGAACGGGAUUAGAUACCCCGGUAGUCCUAGCCUUAAACGAUGAAUGCUUGGUGUCUGGGGUUUUAUAGUCCCCGGGUGCCGUCGCUAACGCUUUAAGCAUUCCGCCUGGGGAGUACGGUCGCAAGACUG
rnacentral:rRNA from 1 species